rnacentral:rRNA from 1 species
UACGUGGAGGGGCGAGCGUUGUCCGGAGUUGACUAGGGCGUAAGCGCGCGUUAGGCGGCUGGAUAAGUCGAUUGUGAAAGCCCCGGGCUCAACUGGGAAUUGCAGUCGAGACUGUUCGGCUAGAGUGUGGGAGAGGGUGGUGGAAUUCCCGGUGUAGCGGUGAAAUGCGUAGAUAUCGGGAGGAACAUCAGUGGCGAAGGCGACCACCUGGCCCAACACUGACGCUGAGGUGCGAAAGCGUGGGUAGCAAACAGG